GCAAGUAAAAUGGGAGUGGCGGGAUACUCCCUUGUGCCAUUCUUUCAUUUUCCCUGUAUUUUUGCUUGAAAAUGCAAAUUUUCCCAACACACAUUGAUCUCCACAAACAACUUCUUUAAUGGUGAUUCCCUCAGCUUAGCCCGUGUAAACCUCUUAGGCGAGAAUGGUCUUCUUUCAUGUUUUUUUACAUGCCACUUACUUCCUUAGAGGAAAAUGCUAUUUGAAACUUUUCCCAGACGAAGGGGAACGAUAGGCCGAUCGCGCUUGAUCGAAGUGACGAUGAACCUAAUAGCCAAGGAGCUCAAAGAGCUGGUCCCGUGAAGAUACGUCCCUUCUUUUUCAUAUAUGCUGUUGUAUAUAAGCUUUCUAUGAGAACUCAUAUUUCACGCACAUCCGCUUUUUUAAUUGAGUAAGAUGCUUACUAUUAAUAAAGGAAAGCAUCGGCUUAUUUGGUCA
rnacentral:lncRNA from 1 species